GACGAACGCUGGCGGCGUGCUUAACACAUGCAAGUCGAGCGGUAAGGCCCUUUCGGGGGUACGACGAGCGGCGAACGGGUGAGUAACACGUGGGUGACCUGCCCUUAGCUCUGGGAUAAGCCUGGGAAACUGGGUCUAAUACCGGAUAUGACUCCAUGACGCAUGUUGUGGGGUGGAAAGCCUUGUGCGGCUAGGGAUGGGCCCGCGGCCUAUCAGCUUGUUGGUGGGGUGAUGGCCUACCAAGGCGACGACGGGUAGCCGGCCUGAGAGGGCGACCGGCCACACUGGGACGUGAGACACGGCCCAGACUCCUACGGGAGGCAGCAGUGGGGAAUCUUGCGCAAUGGGCGAAAGCCUGACGCAGCGACGCCGCGUGAGGGAUGACGGCC
rnacentral:rRNA from 1 species